GACAGAGGGUGCAAACGUUGUUCGGAAUUACUGGGCGUAAAGCGCGUGUAGGCAGCUCUUCAAGUCAGGCGUGAAAGCCCCGGGCUCAACUCGGGAACUGCGCUUGAUACUGUCGAGCUAGAGUGUGGAAGGGGCGAUUGGAAUUCCGUGUGUAGCGGUGAAAUGCGUAGAUAUACGGAGGAACACCAGAGGCGAAGGCGGAUCGCUGGGCCAACACUGACGCUGAGACGCGAAAGCUAGGGUAGCAAACGGG
rnacentral:rRNA from 1 species